UUUGCGGAGAGUUUGAUCCUGGCUCAGGAUAAACGCUGGCGGCGUGCCUAAUACAUGCAAGUCGAACGAGGGCCUUGUAGCAAUACGGGGCUCCUAGUGGCGAAUGGGUGAGUAACGCGUUGGUGACCUGCCCCGAAGAGGGGAAUAACUCCGGGAAACUGGAGCUAAUACCCCAUGUGGUUACGGUAAUUAGAAAGCUGUAACUAAAGGAGUAAUCCGCUUCGGGAGGGGCCUGCGUUCCAUCAGCUAGUUGGUAGGGUAAUGGCCUACCAAGGCGACGACGGGUAGGGGGCCUGAGAGGGUGGCCCCCCACACUGGCACUGAAACACGGGCCAGACACCUA
rnacentral:ncRNA from 1 species